rnacentral:rRNA from 1 species
UACGUAGGGAGCAAGCGUUGUCCGGAAUCAUUGGGCGUAAAGCGCGCGUAGGCGGCCCUGUAAGUCCGCUGUGAAAGUCAAAGGCUCAACCUUUGAAUGCCGGUGGAUACUGCAGGGCUAGAGUCCGGAAGAGGCAAGUGGAAUUCCUGGUGUAGCGGUGGAAUGCGCAGAUAUCAGGAGGAACACCAACGGCGAAGGCAGCUUGCUGGGACGGUACUGACGCUAAGGGCGCGAAAGCUAGGGGAGCGAACGGG